rnacentral:rRNA from 1 species
GACGAACGCUGGCGGCGUGCUUAACACAUGCAAGUCGAACGGAAAGGCCCUGCUUUUGUGGGGUGCUCGAGUGGCGAACGGGUGAGUAACAAGUGAGUAACCUGCCCUUGCCUUUGGGAUAACUUCAGGAAACUGGGGCUAAUACCGGAUAGGAGGUCCUGCUGCAUGGUGGGGGGUGGAAAGUUUCGGCGGUUGGGGAUGGACUCGAGGCUUAUCAGCUUGUUGGUGGGGUAGUGGCUUACCAAGGCUUUGACGGGUAGCCGGCCUGAGAGGGUGACCGGCCACAGUGGGACUGGGAUACGGGCCAGACUCCUACGGGCGGCAGCAGUGGGGGACUUUGCACAAUGGGCGGCAGCCUUAUGCAGCAACUCCGCGUGCUGGAUGACGGCCUUCGGGUUGUAAACCGCUUUCGCCUGUGACGAAGCGUGAGUGACGGUAAUGGGUAAAGAAGCAACGGCUAACUACGUG